GAUGAACGCUGGCGGCGUGCCUAAUACAUGCAAGUCGAGCGAACGGACGAGAAGCUUGCUUCUCUGAUGUUAGCGGCGGACGGGUGAGUAACACGUGGAUAACCUACCUAUAAGACUGGGAUAACUUCGGGAAACCGGAGCUAAUACCGGAUAAUAUUUUGAACCGCAUGGUUCAAAAGUGAAAGACGGUCUUGCUGUCACUUAUAGAUGGAUCCGCGCUGCAUUAGCUAGUUGGUAAGGUAACGGCUUACCAAGGCAACGAUGCAUAGCCGACCUGAGAGGGUGAUCGGCCACACUGGAACUGAGACACGGUCCAGACUCCUACGGGAGGCAGCAGUAGGGAAUCUUCCGAAAUGGGCGAAAGCCUGACGGAGCAACGCCGCGUGAGUGAUGAAGGUCUUCGGAUCGUAAAACUCUGUUAUUAGGGAAGAACAUAUGUGUAAGUAACUGUGCACAUCUUGACGGUACAUAAUCAGAAAGCCACGGCUAACUACGUG
rnacentral:rRNA from 1 species